rnacentral:rRNA from 1 species
GAUGAACGCUGGCGGCGUGCCUAAUACAUGCAAGUCGAGCGAACAGACGAGGAGCUUGCUCCUCUGACGUUAGCGGCGGACGGGUGAGUAACACGUGGAUAACCUACCUAUAAGACUGGGAUAACUUCGGGAAACCGGAGCUAAUACCGGAUAACAUGUUGAACCGCAUGGUUCAACAGUGAAAGACGGUCUUGCUGCCACUUAUAGAUGGAUCCGCGCCGCAUUAGCUAGUUGGUAAGGUAACGGCUUACCAAGGCAACGAUGCGUAGCCGACCUGAGAGGGUGAUCGGCCACACUGGAACUGAGACACGGUCCAGACUCCUACGGGAGGCAGCAGUAGGGAAUCUUCCGCAAUGGGCGAAAGCCUGACGGAGCAACGCCGCGUGAGUGAUGAAGGUCUUCGGAUCGUAAAACUCUGUUAUUAGGGAAGAACAAAUGUGUAAGUAACUAUGCACGUCUUAACGGUACCUAAUCAGAAAGCCACGGCUAACUACGUG